AAAACUUUCAACAACGGAUCUCUUGGCUCUGGCAUCGAUGAAGAACGCAGCGAAAUGCGAUACGUAAUGCGAAUUGCAGAAUUCAGCGAGUCAUCGAAUCUUUGAACGCACAUUGCGCCCGCCAGCAUUCUGGCGGGCAUGCCUGUCCGAGCGUCAUU
rnacentral:rRNA from 5 species